UACGAAGGGGGCUAGCGUUGCUCGGAAUGACUGGGCGUAAAGGGCGCGUAGGCGGAUGGCACAGUCAGAUGUGAAAUUCCCGGGCUUAACCUGGGGGCUGCAUUUGAUACGUGUGAUCUAGAGUGAGGAAGAGGGUCGUGGAAUUCCCAGUGUAGAGGUGAAAUUCGUAGAUAUUGGGAAGAACACCGGUGGCGAAGGCGGCGACCUGGUCCAUUACUGACGCUGAGGCGCGAAAGCGUGGGGAGCAAACAGG
rnacentral:rRNA from 1 species